rnacentral:rRNA from 1 species
GACGAACGCUGGCGGCGUGCUUAACACAUGCAAGUCGAACGGAAAGGCCCUGCUUUUGUGGGGUGCUCGAGUGGCGAACGGGUGAGUAUCACGCGAGUAACCUGCCCUUGUCUUUGGGAUAACUUCAGGAAACUCGGGCUAAUACCGGAUAGGAUCUUUUGCUCCACGGUGGGGGUUGGACACUUUCGGCGGUUGGGGACGGACUCGCGGCUUAUCAGCUUGUUGGUGGGGUAGUGGCUUACCAAGGCUUUGACGGGUAGCCUGCCUGGGAGGGUGACCGGCCACAUGGGGACUGAGAUACGGCCCAGACUCCUACGGGAGGCAGCAGUGGGGAAUAUUGCACAAUGGGCGGAAGCCUGGUGCAGCAACGCCGCGUGCGGGAUGACGGCCUUCGGGUUGUAAACCGCUUUCGCCUGUGACGAAGCGUGAGUGACGGUAAUGGGUAAAGAAGCACCGGCUAACUACGUG